rnacentral:lncRNA from 1 species
UCAGUUACAAGAGGAAGGAGAAAGAGGAUACUGGUUUUCCUCUGCAUAAAAAACGCGAUGGAUUCUCAAGAAUUUAUUGAAAGUCUGUGUGUCCACCAUAGUCCAGGAUAUUUUGGAAUAUUCAAGGGAAAUACAAAUCCAAGAAUUUAGCUCAGGAAUCAGCAUCAGAACAGAAUCCCCGAAGAGUAAACUAUUCAUGGAAAACAGUAGACUGAUAACAUUUGAAAAACUGAUUUCCCAUAGAAACAAUAGUUACUGUUUGACGAAUUAUACAACGUAGACCUAGGUCGUGCGAUAGCUACAAAAUACCUAAGGAAAUGGACUAGGUCGUAACAAGAAAAAGUGAUAUCAAGCCCGGGCAGAAGGGCGCACUCCCGACCUCCGCCCUGUCGCAGUUCCAGGGCGCUCCGCGCUGUCAUGAUUGCUGGGUGCGCGCUCCGUGCUGGGACAGCCGCGCACCAACAGCGGAGGGCGUUAGCACCCCAAGACGCUGCUGCAGGGGUCUGAACCGCUCCUUGGCCUACUGGCACCGGGUCCUGGACGAAAUCUACCGCGGUCCAACUGAGCUUUAUCUUGUGCGGUGACGCCCAUGCCUAGGUCUUGACACUUCCCUCCUAUGCCCUUUAUUGCCAAGGGUCGGGAUGGCCUUCGUGUCCUCUGCAGCCUCCGCCUUCCUUCUGCUGCCAGCAGCUGUAGAUUUUACCUCUUUCCCCUAACUUCCUCUCAGGCUCCUACUCCAUUCCUAUCGCGACUGCUUGAGACCGGGCCACCUCCCCCGCAAAUUACCUACUCCAGUGUCAAAAUCAGGUCAGGGCAAAUCCAUGCCAGAACGCAGUGACCUAACUUAAAUGCGACUCUGAUUGCGUUCUUCCCAGCUUAGAACUUUUGGUGUCUCCUGAUGGUCAAAGGGACCGAGGUCAACCUCCUCUGCCCCUUUCAAGGCACCUCAAGAUCCGAUCCCUUUAUAUUCCCCAGUCUUGAUCCUUCUCUCCUGCUCCAGGGGAAUGAAACACAAUCCCACAUCUGGGAUGUUACUCAUCCCCAUUGCCUCACCAGUUUUUCUGGAUUUUAUUUUAUUGUGCAAAAACAUCAAUAAAAUGAAAUUAUCCAGU